UCUUGAUCACCUGGCUAACUAGGACCUGCGGCACCCUGCUGCCAGUGCCCAGCAUGUAUCAGAGCAUCAAUUACUAGCCCAGGAAAAGAUCAACAUUCCAAACUUACAAAAAUGACAAGACCAUCAGUCCUGCCUUGAAGUCAAAUAUUUGAGAAGCAGCAACUCAGAAGUCUCAUUUUUAUCUUUCAUUUUCAAAUCAGACCUCAGGUGGAUCUUGAAUCGAUGGGAACUGAAUAUGUGCAAGGGGGCAUCAGGGGACCCUCCACUGUUGUAGACCCAAAAGGCACAGUGCUCAGCAGAAAUGAUACUUGAUGCUAUACCACCACCAUCACCAGCCACACCAGGACCACCAGCA